rnacentral:lncRNA from 12 species
CUCGGCCUGGGCGAAGGCGCUGUUCCCCCCGAGGGACCGCCGGCGACCCCUGCGCAGCCGUCCCUAUUCGUGCUCCGUGUUCCCCUCCCCGGCAUGUUUCCGCCACGCUGCCGCGGCGCCGGGAGGGGGGCAGAGCUCUGAGCCCCCACCGUGCUGCCUGGCUGGGGUCCAGGUCAGCCGGUGCCCCUGCGGGUCCUCGCUGCUGCCACUCCUCCGGCGGGGACAGCUCUCAGUGGGCCAGUGCUCGUCGUGAGCUCUCAGCCCCCCAGGGACGCUCCCAUCGCCACAGCCCUCGCCCCUGCCAGCCGCUCUCCCUUUUCCCACACAUCCUCCGCAGCCGCGCUGUGGUGCACUCACAGCUCUUUCCCAGGGCCACUGCCGGCAAGAGGAACCCUUCGGGCCCGCGCUGGCUCUGCUGUAACCCGGCAGAACAGUUCGAGCCGCCCACGUCCGGAGCCACUCGUGCCCGAGCGAGCCGCGCCACGCGUGGAUGCCCCAGGAAGACGCCGGGAUGCCUGCACCGAGAACGAUGCUGAUGCUGCCUGCUCUCAGUACGGCCCUGCCAGCGCCCACCGGGCUCAGCCUGCGCAGAGAUGCUGCGGGGAGCUGGCGGCCGCAGUUCUUCGUGACUCCAGUUAGUUUGCGUCUCCUGCUCGGGGAAGGCGCUCUCUAGUAUCUGCUUCACCUCAUUUUCAGCUUCAGGUGAUUUGUUUCUGUCCCCAGUUUGUCUCAGGUUCAGCUCAUAGAGUUUGUUCGUGCCCCCAGCAUGUUUUAGACUCCAAGCUGGUUUCACCUUCCCAGGCUUCAUUUCGGCUCCAGCUUGUUUCCAUGUUUGAUUGGUCUGUGGCUCCGGUUCAUUUCUGCUCUGGCUCAUUACUGCUUCUGCUUGUUCAAAUGAUCUUGGCUUUUGACAGGGCCACAAAUCAAUCACUAUCAUAACUUAAAUAUGAACGGACAUAAUUGUGUGUUGUCUAAAGAUGGACUAAGCUUCUUGGACCUAUGCAAGUGGACCUUCAACCUCCAGUGGGAUUCCACACAGGUGCCCCCAUGCCAGUUCCCACUGUCAGGAAAAUCCACAAACACCAGAAGUUUAUGUCCAUAAAGGAGACAGAGCAGUCCUGAAACUUUAUUCGAAUAAAGGGACAGAGUCCACUAGGGCACAAGCCCAUGGGGUUUUCUCUCUCUCAGUUUUGGAGGGUGCAGCCUCUAUCCUCAACUCUCAGCUGCAAGUUGCCCUCUUCCUUUCCUCAUUGGCUGAGGUACUUAAAAGGUACAGCCUUCCCAAACUGCCUACCACAUAUUCCCCCUUGAACCUACUAUUUUACCCUAAAGUUCAGAAGUUCAGGCUUGUGCAGACACUUGUUUGUUUCAGGAGCCAAGCUGUCUGGUCUCUGCAACAAACCUGCUGCUCAAAGGUAGUACAGACAUUGAGACCCAUUUCAAAUAUGUUAACCCCAUACCUUCACCCUUCAAAUUGUUUGUAAAGACAUUAGCUUGCCUCUCACCACCUUAAUGAAUAACAAAUAACAAAGUUCCAAACAAAGCAGUUAAGUAAUGGAAGCAAUAAUCACAGGAAUGUGGAAGACAGAAAAUUGAUGGCCUAAGUUCUUGAAGGGCAAAAACACAGAAAGACAACACCCUUCUAAUCCAGAAUAUGUGAUUAUGAACUAAAAUAUCCCCAUUUUUGACUGGUUCUGUAGUGACAACUUGCCCUAGUGAUGAACUUUUGCUUCUUAUAAUGGUAAAAACCCCAGCUCAGACACUUCCCCCUACAAAAAGACCACCACUCACCAAGCAUGGGCUAUGAUUUUUUGGGACACAACGGCUUUAAUUUGAAGUUGAGAAAGGAUGAGCCAAUAACAACUUAAGCCAAGUAGUGACUUAAGUAAGAAUUAAUAGCCCAAGAUUGUGCCUUGGCAUGCUGGGGUUUACCACCCAGCACCUCUUUCUGCCAGAGCAGUAAAUCAAAUUACAUGUCGUGGUUAGAGGAAUCUCGUUUUUUACAGUGAAUGGGUUUGGUUGAGUAUCUGAUCCUGUGUGUUAACCUGUAGAAGCACUCACAAUUUUCACCAGUUAAUUCCCUCAGUAAUUUUGAUAUAGGAAGAUGAUCCAAGAAAUGUUUGCACAUUGUUCAAGCAGGGAAGAUACAUUUACCUUAAAAGUAGAGCCCAGCAGCCUCAGACUGUGUUCAGUGGCUGUUGCUGCUGUAUAAAAUUAUUUUUCCUUCUUGUCAUUGUCAUGCAUUUAUAUCUGCUACAGGAAAACUGCUGCCCCUUCCAGCAAUAUUGGAGACCUAUAGGGCAAGUCAGUUCAGCUAUAGGUAAUUUUAAGGUAGUUUAUGUUGUGGUGACUUCAUUGGUUCUGUUCUUUCAAGCAUUAUUUGCCAAUCUUAUGCAAAAUCCAGUACAUAAAGGGGCUACAAAACAGCUGAAGAGGGGCUUUGGUCAAGGACAUGGAGUGAUAGGGCAAGGGGGAAUGGCUUCAAACUGACGAAAGGCAAGUAUAGAUUAUAUAUCAGGAAGAAAUUCUUCUCUGUGAAGGUGCUCAGGCACUGGAAUGUCCCUGGAAGUGUUCAAGACCAAGCUGGGUGCUUUGAGCAACCUGGUGUAGUGGGCCUGUCCAUGGCAGGGGGUUUGGAACUAGAUGAUCUUUGAGGUGCCUUCCAACCCAAGCCAUUCUAUAAUUCUAAGGUACAAACUGGUCUGGUUCUGUCUUUUGGGGGCUGUGCUUGUGCAGUUGUGUUUUCCUUCUUUUAUACCCAAACUAGAAGUUUUCCUUCAGUCUGAAAUAAAAAAACAAAACAGUAGGCUGAAGCAAAAUUAAACAGAAAGAGAGGAAUUAAACACUCCCUUAUUUAGAACAGGAUGAGGAUUUUAAAAAGCCCCAAACUAACAAGAACAAAAUAAACAAAUGAACAGCCAAACCUCAAAGCACAGAAGGAUAUUUUCGUACUAACCUUGCUGGUGCAGCUGCUAACAUAAGUGUUUCUCACACAAGUGCAUGUUAUGAACCAGUGUGUAACAGUUAACCCAUAAAGGCUUGUGUACUCAGAGCAAGGCUGGGGAGGUGAUUACUUUUGGUUGCACUGAUUUCAGGUUUUGCAAUUCUGCUUUGCUUUACUUCUGAAAAAAAUCGGGAAUGCCUUCAAAGUCUGGCGGAGAACUGAUGGCACUGGAAUGGCUGUAACUGGAGAAAUUGAGAAAAACCUGAGCCUCCUAGUGCUGCAAGGCUUUGUUUGGCAAGCGAAAGGGAAUUCAGUUGCAUUCUCACAGUCCAGCCUCUUGAUCAGGGAAAAUAAUUACCAAUGGUGUCUCUGAAGCCACUUCUCACUAACAAAAUAAUCAGCUCCAAGGAGAAGCUCUUGACUCAAAAUAAUAUAGUUCCACCAUUUACUGAACAAAGUGGUCUUAUCCGCCUUUUAAGGGGGAAAUUACUUUAUGACAAUAGAAAUCCUCUUAGGUUAUCAGCCUGUACCCUGAAUCUGCCUUUCUUGCAUUCUCUUUCCUCCUCACCAUUGGGUUUCUUGGGUUAUUUUUAGUUUACAGUUACUGUCACAUUUACAGUGGAGAUGUGUGCAGCAGAUUGAAUAAGCUGCCUCCCUGAAAAUGAGCACAUUUACAUUGUCCUGUUUAAUUUCUUGGUGAAAAUCUUA